rnacentral:lncRNA from 1 species
GAGAUGUUUCUGACACAGCCAUAUGGAGGAAGACACACUUCUCCACUUGAGACGUAACCUGGAUUCACUGCCACAGACAGAGGUGUCAAAUGCUGCCAGGGGACCCAGUCUGAUGCAGUGUGAAUUACUGCACCCUUAGAUCUGCUGAUUUUAGGCCACUUUAGCAGGAAGAGUUUAGGCAAGUUGGUGGCUCUACACAAUUUUAGCAGGAAGGGUUGCAGUAUAAUGAUGGGGACAGAAGUCACACUGACUGGGAAGGCUUCAGAGGAGGAGAGGAAACAAGUGUCCCUCACAGAGACAUCAUGCAAAGCCUGAUUCAGAAUUCCCAAGAAAAGGCCUCAAAAACUAGUUUUCCUAGAGAUGGUCUAUGAAAUGAAAUGUCCAUGUUCUGCUUCUGGAGUUUUAAUCUAAACAAAGAAUAAAACUGAUUGUUCUACAUAACAGUCACCCCCAAGAAGUGUGUCACGUGUCAAAUGGCUCCCCGAGAAAUCACACUGCAGAAACAGAGAGGGACCCACAGAUGGCAUAUACCAGCUCCCAGGAAGUUCAUUCAUCUUGUCCCUAAUUCUUGCUAGAUAUAGUGCAGAGCAGAGAGUGGCAGGAAAAAGGCAUCCACCUGGUGACAGCCAGAGACCAGCAGUGGGCACUGUGUGGCAUCGCUCUGGGAGAGCAAGAUCUUUCCUUUUUCAUGGGCACAGGAAGCUACCUGCUCUGGUGAAUCUUAUAGUGUUAUGGGGGAGAGAAUAUAAAAACAUAAAUGAACGAUUAAAUAAUGCAAGUUCCACAGUAUCUGAAUGCUUUGAAGGGAAAGGAGCAGCUAUUUUAAAUAUAGGAAAGGCUCUCUGAUAAGGAGGCAUUUGAAUACAGAUUUGAAUAUUGAGAAAGUGCUUGUCCAGUACAGAGAGAGGACAGAGAGUGAGAAGACAAGGUUCCAGAGAGAGAGAACUUAAUGCAUGGGUGGAAUAUCAGGAUGGCCAGGAGGUCAGCAUCUUGGGCCUGAGGAGGAGGUGGGCAUAAGGACAGGACAGGGAGGACGAACAGCCAGCCUGGGAGAACAUAAAGAGUCAGAGGAUUUAAAAUAGGGAAUAUUGGAAUUUCUUGGUGGCUCAGCAAGCUAAGGAUCCCUUACUGUCACUGCUGUGGCUUGGACUGUUGCUGUGGUGCAGGGUUGAUCCCUGACUCGGGAAGUUCUGCAUGCUGUCAGUACAGCCAAAAUUAAUUAAUUAAUUAAUUAGGGAGUAUAAUGCUUGAUUUCCAGUAGUCACUCUGGCUACUAUGUGAAGAGAGGGAACAAGAAGAGAAGCAAAGAGACCCAGUCCAGAUGGAGAUGAUGAAGUUGUGGGGGAGGAUGGGUUGGCAGAAGCCCCAGGCUGCACAGAUGUGGCAGGAAACGGCACUCUUCAGGAUUCUCUGUGGAACGGGAAACAGGGUGUGGGGAAGCCAGGAGCCAAAGAGUCAAGAGUGGUAUUUCAGACAUUUCAUACUUGUAAUGCUCAACCCCCUAGUAGUUGUUGAAAAUAGGAAUCUGGCCAUUGGGAGAAGGGCUGGGGAGGGGAGGAGAGACUUGCACUAACCCUCUAUGAGGUUAUCAGAGUGCCUAUGACAUUGGAAAGCCCAGGAGGGAAGGCAGAGGAAGGAAGUGACCUGGAAAGGUUAGUGAGGAGGCUCCGUGCAUGAAGACCAGCACAGAGAGCUCCAUGCAGAGGCAGAGGAGGUAGGCAGGGGAGCAGCGGAGCUGAGGCUUCCAAGGCAGCCAGGUCCUGCAGGCUGUACUCCAGGCCCUGGCUGAGAAACACAAAGGAAACCACACCAGAGCCACAGACACAGCAGGAGGCCAUCGAGAGCUACAGGUGGGGUAGGCAUGGGUUAGGGAUGGAGAAAGGACCCCACUGGGAGAGACGAACUGGCUUUGAGGGCGAGAGUGGGGAGGUCCAGAAGGAGCAGCCCUGAAGCAGGAGCAGAGCUGGGUUGAUGCUGGGAGGAGAGCCAAGGGGAUGCCCUCUUGAAAACCCCCAGAUGUGAGACAGGAGGUCAUCUGCUGAGAACACAGGUGGGAAUGUAGAUCAGAGGUGAGAUCACAUCCAGUCCUCAGCUCAGGCAGCUUGGUUACCAUGGACAGCUCCUCCUCUCCUUGGCCCUGAAAUGUGGUGCUGUGGUUCCCAGGUGAGAAAAGAGGAGACCACAGGUAGGCUCUGGCCAGGGUCUGUAGGAUGUGGGAGUAGAUAUUAAAGAGCCUCGUGGAAAAGGUUCUCCAUGAGAGCGCUCUAUGCUGUGGCCCCUGCAGGGAAGAACUAACCCUGGAAGCUGGGGUGCAGGAGCUCUGGGAAAAGCCAUGCAAUCUGCUGUUUCCACUAGUGUGAGGGUGGGGCCGAGCAUAGCUCCACUUCAAUGGGCCCCUUAUGAUAAGAGCUUCUGGGUAAGUGGGAAGUGAUCAAGCUGCACACUCAAUGUGCCUGCUUUUACUUCACUGCAGGUAUGCUAUACCUAAAAGCAAAACAAACAAAGCAGAACAAACAAACAAACAAAACAGGGGAAUAGCCCCCAAAGGGAGAGAAGCACAGCAGAAAAGUACAAGCAUCUGGUGAUGAAGAAGUCUGAAAUGCCUCUGAGCCUGGCUCUCUGCAGUGUGGCUGGGGUCCUCUGAUGACAGGGCCGCUGGCCCAGAAGGAAACGCUGACACAGGCCAGCAAGGAGAUUUGCACAGGAAGCAUGCUUACCUUCCACGCAACACUCGGGAACUCCAACAAGGAAGAUGCAUGAGCUUGGGCAGCUUAUGAAACUCCUCCAAGCCUGUCUCUCCACAUGUAGAACAGGCUUCAGAACAUUCCUGCUCAGAGUCCUAAGGGCUCUCAUUGUGGUGAUUAAAUGAGGUGAUACACGCAAACUGCUGAGUCUAGUGUGCGAAAACACAAUAAUCCCCCAACAGCAACCUCUGAUUAUUCCCAUCACUGUAGUCAUGACAACCCCUGGGUUUGAAAUCACUCAAGCCUGCCGCUGGGUCAUAGAAAGUUUGUCAAAGACAAAUCUAAACUCAUGGAGAAAAGGAAGAUCGUAGAAGACAUAUCAGGAACAGAGAAAGGGGCCUGUCACCUGCCUCAAGAGGAGAGAAGACAUAACCCCAAAAAGCAGCUUGUGAAAAAUUGCAAAGCCCGACAGCAGUUAGGUAUUAAAAGAGAGAGAGAGAGACCUGAUUAAAUUUAGAUGAGCUGAAGUGUAGAGAAUGUAAAAGCAGAGUGGGCUGGAGGAGAUGAGGUGUGAGUGACCUGAAGGAGGAGGUGGACGUGACCUGGGGAGAGGCCAUCAGUGUCCAGGACCAGCCACUGAUGGACACAAGCAGGACAGAAUUUGGGGGACUGGGGCAGAAUGGUCUGAGGAAAGGCAGAAAAAAUAACUGAAGCUACGGCUUCUGGGCUACUGAGGGGAAUCAGGAAAACCAACCCGAGAAUACGCCACUUUGGCAUGUAGAUUAUUUUGAGCUGAAUACAGUCAAGACCCAGAAAAUUCAGAAAAAGCUUUUUACCUGCCCUUUAACCACCACCAAUUAGAAGGGGGUCUGUGUCAGGAAAAGACCUACUGCCGGAGAUGAUUUUUCUUCUGAGAGACUUAUCUGCAUGGCAGGUAAGUUUUAUUCACCAAACAUUUGUUUUUUCCACCUUCCAGUGAAAGCCCCCCCUCCUUCUGAAGCCCCUGAACCCUAUUCCUUUGCUCAGAUCAAGACAGUCAUGACGACUGGCUGCCUGCUUCAAAGUCUCAUAUCUCUGUGGGACUUCCAAAGAUAUGAAAUCCAAUUUGUUUUUCUCUCGUUAACCUAUCCUAUGUAACUGAACGACAAGACCAGCUGCAGAAUUUAGAAGAUAAGGAGGGAAAACUUUUUGUCCCCUGCAACGUCAGCUUGGAGCGUGGGAAGUCCUCAGAAGCCUCUCUAAGAAGAGGGAAGAGAAGAAGGUGACAGAUACAAUGGUCAGAGAAGAUUUUCCUGCAGCUGUGUAUGGGGUAUGCUGCCUCCCAGAAGACAGGCAAGAAAACCUACCUGCUGGAAUAAGACUCUCAUAAGGAUGCCCCAGGACAGAAAUAAGUCAUUAAGUGCCAAGACAGGAACCAGGAUGCCAAGACUUAUCAUUGGUAAUCACAUCAACCAAAUGGAGAAACAAUUGCUAUUUAUAAAUUCAAUUCUCUUACCAGUCCUGAGCACACAGAAUAUGCUCUUGAAAGCAAAAUGCUGCAGAAUGAGUUAAUGUAGGUGGGAUGGUGCACUGUCUGUGAUGCUCUGUAAUAUACUAACAGUGAGUGGAUUAUUCUGAGGUCUUCCUUGCCUGAAUCUCCUCUGCUGCCUUGUGUGCAAAAUGGGUUCCUUUGUCAGUAAACUAUUUAAGCAUCCACGGCCUGGAAUACAGGUAUGCUUAAUUGCCAAUCAUUUAUAAUAUACAGAAUGUGACUCUGACAUUCCAGAGACUGCUCUAAAGGUCCAGACUUGCUACAUCUUCCAGAUACUAAAAGCAAAAUACACAGGGAGCUAGCGGUAUGAAAAUAAACCAAACCAUGGUGACACACAGGCUGGUUUUCAAGCAGAAUGGGAAAGAGCCUUGCAGGAAUUCCCCAAACCCCCUAAUGCAAAUCCACCCAACUCAUGCUACACAGGAGCUGAUCGAUAAACCCUUAGAAGGAAACUGAAAACUCUCAUCUUCAAAACCGUGAUUGAUUUUUCUCCUAGGGCCCCAGAGGAUAUGAACUGCAGAAAAGCUUUCAGCAACUGAAGGCCACAGGCUGACCCUCCCACCCUGAAUGUCGGUGCAUGUGCGGAAGUGAGUGCUGGAGUGUGCGCUGGAGUGGAGGUGGAAACUGCCCCAGAAAUAAAAAGCUGCUAAAAUGCCCUGGAGAUGGUGCAAUGCUAUUUUGAGAGCAUUCGAGGAGCCCCUAGUCCAGACGUCUGCACCACAGUGCACCGGGCCCCUCUUUCCUUCUCCUGCGGACCUACCUUCCAGGUGUGGCACAUGGCUCCUCCUGCAUGUCCCCCACCAUUCCCUAUUGUGUAGCACGCUGACUCUAGAUCCUUUUCAACAUCUUUGCUCUGCACAGAGCUGGGCACCCGGAGCAGGCCUCAGGGAAUGUGAGUGGUGGGAAUGCAAGACAGACCACAGAGGGAGCACAGGAAGAACCCUGCUCAGCCCGGACUGCUCCACACCCCCACCAACAAGAAGGCCAACCUUUCCAGGAACUCAGGCUGGCAAGCUCCAUACACUAAAUGUGCUUGCUUCCAAUUUCACACUUUUAAUCAGGCAUGAAACCAUCCUCUGAAAAUCCAGGGCAUGGGGAGCCAAGCAAUUGUCGAUAAUUCUUCAAAUUGUUCAUACCACAUUUUAUUCACACUUUAAGUCCAUUUUGCAACAGUAGUAUGUAAACGCUAAAUUUAAAAUAUCCCAACCUUGAAUGAUUGACAAUGUUUGGUAACAUAUGUUUACUAUCUUUCGAACACUACGUUUUAAACUGCCUGAAGGAAUGAACCAAGGACCACAGAUUCCUAUACUGCAUCUUAGUAUCCUACACUGACAGCUGUUUCUAUCAUGAAGUACAUCAGGUUAGCAGUCUGCAUGUAGGUCUUCUCAGGAAGGUGAGUCCCUUUUUUAUUCCUUUUUUUUUUGUGGGGAAGGGCACAUCCUCAACAGAUGGAGGUUCCCUGGCUAGGAGUCAAAUCAGAGCUGCAGCUGCCAGCCUACACCACAGAGCCACAGCAACCCCGGAUCUGAGCCACAUCCUUGACCUACACCAAAGUUUGUAGCAACGCCAGAUGCUUAACCCACUGAGCAAGGCCAGGAUCAAACCACCAUCCUCAUCGAUACUAAUCAGAUUCUUAACCCGCUGAGCUACAACAGGAACUCCAGGAAAGUGAGUCUUGAUGACUAAUUUCACAAACCAGUUCAGGAAAUGAGGAUGGUCAGAAGGAGAAGGGAAGGAGUGAGAAGCAAAAUUCAACCCAAAAGUUAAUACCAUAAGCCACACUGGCAAUCCCCAAACCUAAUCAGAAUCUGCCUUCCAUCUGCCUAGGGUCAGCCAUCAUCAGUCAUAAUUUAUCUCCAGAGUUCCUGUUGUGGUGCAGCAGAAAGGAAUCUAGGAACCAUGAGGUUGUGGGUUCUAUCCAUGGCCUCGCUCAGUGGGUUAAGGAUCUGGUGUUGCCAUAAGCUGUGGUGUAGAUUGCAGACGUGCCUUGGAUCUGGCUUGGCUCUGGCUGUGGCAUAGGCUGGUGGCUACAGCUCCAAUUAGACCCCUAGCCUGGGAACCUCCAUGUGCCUCAGGUGCGGCCCUAAAAAGACAAAAAAAAAAAAAAAAAAG